rnacentral:rRNA from 1 species
CCUACGGGAGGCAGCAGUGGGGAAUAUUGCACAAUGGGGGCAAGCCUGAUGCAGCGACGCCGCGUGCGGGAUGGAGCCUUUCGGGUUGUAAACCGCUUUUGUCCAAGGACAAGGCACGGUCGUUGGCCGCGUUGAGUGGAUUGUUCGAAUAAGCACCGGCUAACUACGUGCCAGCAGCCGCGGUAAUACGUAGGGUGCAAGCGUUAUCCGGAUUGAUUGGGCGUAAAGGGAUCGUAGGCGGUUCGCCGCGGCCGGGGUGAAAGUCCAUGGCCAAACGGUGGGACUGCGCCGGAAACGGCCGGGCUGGAGGACAGGAGAGGUGACGGGAACUCCGGGUGUAGGGGUG